rnacentral:lncRNA from 10 species
GUUCAAAUGGGUUGCUUUACUCACUCUCCUAGAUAACAGCCCAUUUGUCAACAUCUUUGGCGGUUUAAGCCGUUCUUUGUCAAAACCACUUUUGGAAAAGAUUUGACCAUUUAUUUACAUGGGAGCCAACGUGACGGCAGCAGGUGCGUCAUGGAAAACUCGGACGUGGGUGCUGCAAAGCCGCUGGGAUUCGGUCACGUGACAGCCCGCCUGCUGCCCGGCCAGCGGGCCAAAUGGCCACACGGGAAGGAGGGACAGAGGAGAAAAUAGUAGGCAAAGUGUUGGCGUGAGGCAGGUGGUGGAUGAGGCAGUCGCAAAGAGAAAGGAUUGCAACAUCAGGGAGGAGAUGAAAGGCCUCAUAUCAUUUUGCAGCCAACAAGAAACCUGAAGGAACUAAGUUUGGCUCUAUUUCUACAGCUUGUGAAAAGCUGAGAAUGGAAGCAAUGACUGGGCUAAUUCUGGACAAAAUUUUUUAAAAUGAUUUUUGUCAGAGGAGCCCAGAUCUUUGCCUCAAUUCUUUGCUUUUGUCUAAAUUGCUCAUUUUUCCAAAUUUCUGUAAGUAAUUUUUUAGGUGAUGUGAAUUGAUUUGCCUUUGGUAUACCGGACAAGAUUUUAUUUUAUUUUAUUAUUUUAUUUUUGAGACGGAGUUUCGCUCUUGUUGCCCAGACUGGAGUGCAGUGGUGUGAUCUCAACUCACUACAACCUCUGCCUCCCGGGUUCAAGCGAUUCUCCUGCCUCAGCCUCCUGAGUAGCCGGGAUUACAGGUGCCCGCCACCACACCGAGCUAAUUUUUGUAUUUUUAGUAGAGAUGGGGUUUCACCACGUUGGCCAGGCUGGUCUCAAACUCCUGACCUCAGGUGAUCCAUCUGCCUCAGCCUCCCAAAGUGCUGGGAUUACAGGUGUUAGCCACCGUGCCCAGCCUGGACAAGAUUAUUUGAGACAUCUCUGGUGGCCUAAAUCGUGAAGGGUUUGCCCCCUGUUUCCUUUUGUCCACUUUCCUCAUAGUGCCAUUUUGUUUUGUGCCUUCACUCAGCCUGAACUGGCUGGUGAAAGUGGCACAGCCAACUGUUGCCAGACAGUGAUGUCCUGUCAAAUUCCUGUACCUGCAUGGGUACGUUCUCAUGUUCUCUGAAAUAUUAUUCCUUUCCCUUAACAGAGCUCACCAGACAAGAAACAGAAAAGUGUUUUGAGUACUUUGAAUCAAAAGUGGUCUCUGAAUUUAAGGCAUUUUUAUUAUUUUAUGUGUUAUUUGUAGUUCAAAAGGGUCUUCCUAUUCAUCAUAGUAUUAGAGGCAUUUGAUGGAAAAGUAGUGUGCCAAGGUGAUUAGUGACAACAACAACAAAAGCAACUUAUUUUUGAGCCUGUGAAAGGCCCUCUUCUAGACACUUUAUACAACAGCUGUAUCCUUAUUGAUAGCCCUGCAAGGUAAGUAUCAUUUUUCCCAUUGUGGAGAAGUACUGAAUCUCGGGAGGGUACUGGGCCAAGGUCACCAGCCAAUCAGUGACAGAUAGGAAAUUCAAACCUAGGUUUGUUGGGUUCUUUCUACUAUACCAGGCAACACCAUUUGUAAAUGUGAACUCAUUCUGAGCAUCAAAGGACAAUUGGCUUUACUUUGAAGAAACUCAAUUCCAUAUUGGUUUCAGUUAUUUUAACAAAUUCAACAUGCUUAAUUAUCUCAGAAUUUUUACAGAAUAGUAAUUGUUAAUUCCCUGGUAGAAUUAGGCUUGCCUGCAACUAUUUUUAAUUCCUUAACAUCUUCUAGGUAUUCCACUUGACCCGAUGCUUUUCCUUGAUGUGGUCUGGAGAAUGUGAUCUAUAGAAACAAUGUAUAAGAAUAUCCUGGCCGGUGGCUCACACCUGUAAUCCCAGAACUUUGGGAGGCCGAGGCGGGUAGAUCACGAGGUCAAGAUAUCGAGACCAUCCUGGCCAACAUUGUGAAACCCUGUCUCUAUCAAAAAUACAAAAAUUAGCUGGCCAUGGUGGCGCAUGCCUGUAGUCCCAGCUUCUCGGGAGGCUGAGGCAGGAGAAUCGCUUGAACCCAGGAGGCAGAGGUUGCAGUGAGCCGAGAUCGCACCAGCCUGGGGGACAGGGCAAGACUCUGUCUCAAAAAAAAAAAAAAUAUCCUGACUUUCUUUAUAGGCACAUAAAUAAAUAAGGAAAGAAUCUUUUCCCCAACCCUGAGGAGAUAGGCAGUACCACUAUAUAGCAGGCUUGCAUGCAUGCAAACUUUGAAAGCAAUCAUUGAACAAAGCUUGGGCAAGGUUAUGGUGAAUAAGAAAGAGAACAAAGUUCAUGAAGAGGUGCGAAGAAAACAGGAAAAAAGCUAUUUUCCAAGAAGAAAAAGAAAAUGGAAGUACAAAUUUCCAACAGCACACAUUUUCUCUGCUCUCUCCUUGGCUCUGAAAGAGGAUGCGUGAAACAGAAUUUCAGGCUGUAAUUAAUGCAGCUCUUCAUAAGAUAAGAGGUUCUUUUAUCUACAGAAAAAUUGCUGCACUAAUUCCCAACAAGAAGUGCAAUGCUCCGGUUAAUGCUCUUUCUACAAGAAGAAUUCACCUUUUCUACCCUCUACAUAUUUACAGACAAAUUUGAAUAUUUUGUUAUGGGAAACUGAAGAUGGGUAAACAUACAAUGAUAAUAGUACUUUAUAGGGCUAAAUCUAAAAGCCUUAAAGAUUAAUAUUAUGUUUGGAUAAAUGCUGAAUAAGUUUACAUAAAGAAUUUUCAAAUAACAUUGACGCUACAGGCAUGUACUUGUAAGCACAGACCUUAAUUGGGCACAACUUAGAUCCAGCACUCUUUGAGGGGGAGAAUAAACAAAUUGGGAAAUGCAUCCUCAUUUGAUACAGUGAGGAAAAAGAGCUAUGGUUCCUUGCUCUGCUUUAAAGUACUGUCCAAAGAAGGAUGAAGCCCCGCUAUUUCAUUUUGAUUUAAAUAUUUCCUUGUAGAAUGCACAUUCCAAUUUGGAAACAAUACUUUCUAUAUGUAUGUUUCAUGUAUGUGCUUGGAAUAAUUGGUAAUGUGUUGGCACUGUGUUCCACUUAAAUGCAUGGCAUUUGUAUACUAUUUAAUGUUUUGUUGUUGUUGUUGUUUUUGAGAUGGAGUCUCAGUCUGUUGCCCAGGCUGGAGUGCAAUGGUGUGAUCUAGGCUCACUGCAACCUCUGCCUCCCGGGUUCAAGCAAUUCUCCUGCCUCAGCCUCCUGAGUAACUGGGAUUACAGGCGCCUGCCACCACGCCUGGCUAAUUUUUUUUUUUUUUUUUUUUUUUUUUUUUUUUUUUUUUUUUAGUAGAGAUGGGGUUUCUCCAUGUUGGCCAGACUGGUCUUGAACUCCUGAACUCAGGUGAUCCACACACCUUGGCCUCCCAAAGUGCUGGGAUUACAGGCGUGAGCCACUGCACCGGCCUUUUAAUGUUUUCUUAAAAACCAGUUUUCUAAGAAAAAAAGAAGAAUGGGAAUACAGCAAAUGAGUAGAAGACAGAGAUCACAAGAAUCGUGCCUGAGGUCCUGGCAAAGAAGACCCCACUAUCUCAGCUCAAGAAGUCAGAACCCAUAGGUGAAAUUGUAGGGAUAACACCAGCUCAGUGUAAAGAAUUUCCAACAUAAACAGCUACUGCAUAACAGAAUGAACUGCCAUGGAAGAAUACAACAUCCAGUCAAGGCAUGUAGUCAAGGAAGAGCAGAUAACCAUCUGCAAGAGGAUUUCAACACUGGACCAGACAGUCCUAUAGUAAGUUGAAGUCUAAGACCCUAUAAUUAUGUGAUAUUGGAGAUUUAAUGUUUACAAUAUUAUUGUCAUUCCAUCUGGUUCCUGGUACUAAGUCUUUGUUUUUUGUUUUGUUUGUUUGUUUUUCUUUUGGAAACAGGGUCUCGCUCUGUCACCCAGGCUGAAGUGCAGUGGCAUGAUCUUGGCUCACUGCAGCCUCAACCUCCCAGGCUCAAGCAAUCCUCCCACAUCAGCCCCCCAAGUAGCUGGGACUACAUCCAUAUGCCACCAUGCCUGUUUAAUUUUUGUAUUUUUUGUAGAGAUGUGGUUUCACCAUGUUGCCCAGGCUGGUCGCGAACUUCUGAGCUCAGGCAAUCCACUCACCUUGGCCUCCCAAAGUGCUGGGAUUAUAGGCAUGAGCCACUGUGCCUGGCCUGUGGUACUAAGUCUUCCCUGACAUUUUGUCAGUAAAGGUCAAAGUCACUGGAAAUGGUCACUGCACCUAACCUAAGUGUCAGUUUCCUGAUCUAUAGAGUAGAGGAUUUGAUGAAUUUAUCUCUAGAAUUCUGUCUACUUCUAGUCAGAUUCUUCACUGACAUGAAGUCACCACUGUGUAUCUACCUUACUAACCUUUUUUGGUUAACAUGUGGGAAAUUUAAUAAAUUCCUGACAUUUUUCAACAACAUUUAUAACCUUUGGGGAUCAGUUCAUUUUCACCAAUUCAAUUUUAGUCAUCUUGAUUGCUUUUGUCAGAGGGGAAAAAUAAUGUCACAUAAUUAAAAUAAUAAAUAACCUCCC